AUUGAACGCUGGCGGCGUGCUUAACACAUGCAAGUCGCACGAGAACUCUUCAGCUUGCUGAAGAUAGUAAAGUGGCGCACGGGUGAGUAAGGCGUAGGUAAUUUGCCUUUAAGUUCGGGACAACACUGCGAAAGCGGUGGUAAUACCGGAUAAUAUUUGUCAGGCUUCGGCUUAACAAAUCAAAGGAGGCCUCUACAUGUAAGCAUCUGCUUAAAGAAACGCCUGCGUACCAUUAGCUUGUUGGUGAGGUAACGGAUCACCAAGGCGACGAUGGUUAGCUGGUCUGAGAGGAUGAUCAGCCACACUGGAACUGAGACACGGUCCAGACUCCUACGGGAGGCAGCAGUGAGGAGUUUUGCGCAAUGGGGGAAACCCUGACGCAGCAACGCCGCGUGAGUGAAGAAGGCCCUUGGGUCGUAAAGCUCUGUCGAGUGGAAAGAAAGUGUUUAUUAUUAAUUGUAAUAAGCAUUGACGGUACCGCUAAAGGAAGCACCGGCUAACUCCGUGCCAGCCGCCGCCGUAACAC
rnacentral:rRNA from 1 species